rnacentral:rRNA from 1 species
UGAGGAAUAUUGGGCAAUGCCCGCAAGGGUGACCCAGCAACGCCGCGUGGAGGAUGAAUGUCGUAAGAUUGUAAACUCCUGUUAGAGGGGAAGAAUAGUACCGGUUGGACCGGUAUAUGACUGUACCCUCAGAGAAAGCCCCGGCUAACUCCGUGCCAGCAGCCGCGGUAAUACGGAGGGGGCUAGCGUUGUUCGGAAUUACUGGGCGUAAAGCGUACGUAGGCGGAUGCGCAAGUUGGGGGUGAAAUCCCGGGGCUUAACCUCGGAAUUGCCCUCAAAACUGCACGUCUUGAGACCGAGAGAGNUAAGGGGAAUUCCUAGUGUAGAGGUGAAAUUCGUAGAUAUUAGGAAGAACACCAGUGGCGAAGGCGCCUUACUGGCUCGGUACUGACGCUGAGGUACGAAAGCGUGGGGAGCAAACA